ACUCCAUGGGAUAGCUCAGUUGGUAGAGCAUGAGACUCUUAAUCUCAGGGUUACGGAUUCAAGCUCCAUGCUGGGCA